GAUGAACGCUGGCGGCGUGCCUAAUACAUGCAAGUCGAGCGAACAGAUGAGGAGCUUGCUCCUCUGACGUUAGCGGCGGACGGGUGAGUAACACGUGGAUAACCUACCUAUAAGACUGGGAUAACUUCGGGAAACCGGAGCUAAUACCGGAUAAUAUAUUGAACCGCAUGGUUCAAUAGUGAAAGACGGUUUUGCUGUCACUUAUAGAUGGAUCCGCGCCGCAUUAGCUAGUUGGUAAGGUAACGGCUUACCAAGGCAACGGUGCGUAGCCGACCUGAGAGGGUGAUCGGCCACACUGGAACUGAGACACGGUCAAGACUCCUACGGGAGGCAGCAGUAGGGAAUCUUCCGCAAUGGGCGAAAGCCUGACGGAGCAACGCCGCGUGAGUGAUGAAGGUCUUCGGAUCGUAAAACUCUGUUAUUAGGGAAGAACAAAUGUGUAAGUAACUAUGCACGUCUUGACGGUACCUAAUCAGAAAGCCACGGCUAACUACGUG
rnacentral:rRNA from 1 species